GGUUAAGCGACUAAGCGUACACGGUGGAUGCCCUGGCAGUCAGAGGCGAUGAAGGACGUGCUAAUCUGCGAUAAGCGCCGGUAAGGUGAUAUGAACCGUUAUAACCGGCGAUUUCCGAAUGGGGAAACCCAGUGUGAUUCGUCACACUAUCAUUAACUGAAUCCAUAGGUUAAUGAGGCGAACCGGGGGAACUGAAACAUCUAAGUACCCCGAGGAAAAGAAAUCAACCGAGAUUCCCCCAGUAGCGGCGAGCGAACGGGGAGGAGCCCAGAGCCUGAAUCAGCAUGUGUGUUAGUGGAAGCGUCUGGAAAGGCGCGCGAUACAGGGUGACAGCCCCGUACACAAAAGCGCAUGUGCUGUGAGCUCGAUGAGUAGGGCGGGACACGUGGUAUCCUGUCUGAAUAUGGGGGGACCAUCCUCCAAGGCUAAAUACUCCUGACUGACCGAUAGUGAACCAGUACCGUGAGGGAAAGGCGAAAAGAACCCCGGCGAGGGGAGUGAAAAAGAACCUGAAACCGUGUACGUACAAGCAGUGGGAGCACAGGUUUACCUGUGUGACUGCGUACCUUUUGUAUAAUGGGUCAGCGACUUAUAUUCUGUAGCAAGGUUAACCGUAUAGGGGAGCCGUAGGGAAACCGAGUCUUAACCGGGCGUUAAGUUGCAGGGUAUAGACCCGAAACCCGGUGAUCUAGCCAUGGGCAGGUUGAAGGUUGGGUAACACUAACUGGAGGACCGAACCGACUAAUGUUGAAAAAUUAGCGGAUGACCUGUGGCUGGGGGUGAAAGGCCAAUCAAACCGGGAGAUAGCUGGUUCUCCCCGAAAGCUAUUUAGGUAGCGCCUCGUGAAUUCAUCUCCGGGGGUAGAGCACUGUUUCGGCUAGGGGGCCAUCCCGGCUUACCAACCCGAUGCAAACUGCGAAUACCGGAGAAUGUUAUCACGGGAGACACACGGCGGGUGCUAACGUCCGUCGUGAAGAGGGAAACAACCCAGACCGCCAGCUAAGGUCCCAAAGUCAUGGUUAAGUGGGAAACGAUGUGGGAAGGCCCAGACAGCCAGGAUGUUGGCUUAGAAGCAGCCAUCAUUUAAAGAAAGCGUAAUAGCUCACUGGUCGAGUCGGCCUGCGCGGAAGAUGUAACGGGGCUAAACCAUGCACCGAAGCUGCGGCAGCGACACUGUGUGUUGUUGGGUAGGGGAGCGUUCUGUAAGCCUGUGAAGGUGGCCUGUGAGGGUUGCUGGAGGUAUCAGAAGUGCGAAUGCUGACAUAAGUAACGAUAAAGCGGGUGAAAAGCCCGCUCGCCGGAAGACCAAGGGUUCCUGUCCAACGUUAAUCGGGGCAGGGUGAGUCGACCCCUAAGGCGAGGCCGAAAGGCGUAGUCGAUGGGAAACGGGUUAAUAUUCCCGUACUUGGUGUUACUGCGAAGGGGGGACGGAGAAGGCUAUGUUGGCCGGGCGACGGUUGUCCCGGUUUAAGCGUGUAGGUGUGUGUUCCAGGUAAAUCCGGUUCACUUUAACACUGAGGCGUGACGACGAGGCACUACGGUGCUGAAGCAACAAAUGCCCUGCUUCCAGGAAAAGCCUCUAAGCAUCAGGUAACAUCAAAUCGUACCCCAAACCGACACAGGUGGUCAGGUAGAGAAUACCAAGGCGCUUGAGAGAACUCGGGUGAAGGAACUAGGCAAAAUGGUGCCGUAACUUCGGGAGAAGGCACGCUGACACGUAGGUGAAGUGAUUUACUCAUGGAGCUGAAGUCAGUCGAAGAUACCAGCUGGCUGCAACUGUUUAUUAAAAACACAGCACUGUGCAAACACGAAAGUGGACGUAUACGGUGUGACGCCUGCCCGGUGCCGGAAGGUUAAUUGAUGGGGUCAGCGCAAGCGAAGCUCCUGAUCGAAGCCCCGGUAAACGGCGGCCGUAACUAUAACGGUCCUAAGGUAGCGAAAUUCCUUGUCGGGUAAGUUCCGACCUGCACGAAUGGCGUAAUGAUGGCCAGGCUGUCUCCACCCGAGACUCAGUGAAAUUGAACUCGCUGUGAAGAUGCAGUGUACCCGCGGCAAGACGGAAAGACCCCGUGAACCUUUACUAUAGCUUGACACUGAACAUUGAGCCUUGAUGUGUAGGAUAGGUGGGAGGCUUUGAAGUGUGGACGCCAGUCUGCAUGGAGCCGACCUUGAAAUACCACCCUUUAAUGUUUGAUGUUCUAACGUGGACCCGUAAUCCGGGUUGCGGACAGUGUCUGGUGGGUAGUUUGACUGGGGCGGUCUCCUCCUAAAGAGUAACGGAGGAGCACGAAGGUUGGCUAAUCCUGGUCGGACAUCAGGAGGUUAGUGCAAUGGCAUAAGCCAGCUUGACUGCGAGCGUGACGGCGCGAGCAGGUGCGAAAGCAGGUCAUAGUGAUCCGGUGGUUCUGAAUGGAAGGGCCAUCGCUCAACGGAUAAAAGGUACUCCGGGGAUAACAGGCUGAUACCGCCCAAGAGUUCAUAUCGACGGCGGUGUUUGGCACCUCGAUGUCGGCUCAUCACAUCCUGGGGCUGAAGUAGGUCCCAAGGGUAUGGCUGUUCGCCAUUUAAAGUGGUACGCGAGCUGGGUUUAGAACGUCGUGAGACAGUUCGGUCCCUAUCUGCCGUGGGCGCUGGAGAACUGAGGGGGGCUGCUCCUAGUACGAGAGGACCGGAGUGGACGCAUCACUGGUGUUCGGGUUGUCAUGCCAAUGGCACUGCCCGGUAGCUAAAUGCGGAAGAGAUAAGUGCUGAAAGCAUCUAAGCACGAAACUUGCCCCGAGAUGAGUUCUCCCUGAGACUUAGAGUCUCCUGAAGGAACGUUGAAGACGACGACGUUGAUAGGCCGGGUGUGUAAGCGCAGCGAUGCGUUGAGCUAACCGGUACUAAUGAACCGUGAGGCUUAACCUU
rnacentral:rRNA from 1 species